GACGAACGCUGGCGGCGUGCCUAAUACAUGCAAGUCGAACGCAGUGGGGACGGGUGAGUAACACGUGGGUAACCUCCCAUCAGAGGGGAUAACACUUGGAAACAGGUGCUAAACCGAUACUGAUGGAUGAACCCGUGGUGCAUUAGCUAGUUGGUGAGGUAACGGCUUACCAAGGCCACGAUUCAUAGCGGAUCGAAUAGUGUGAUCGUCCACACUGGGACUGAGACACGGCCCAGACUCCUACGGGAGGCAGCAGUAGGGAAUCUUCUGCAAUGGACGGAAGUCUGACCGAGCAACGCCGCGUGAGUGAAGAGUGUUUUCUGAUCGUAAGACUCUGUUGUUAGAGAAGCGGUAUCUAACCAGAAAGCCACGGCUAACUACGUGCCAGCAGCCGCGGUAAUUC
rnacentral:rRNA from 1 species